UCUCCGUAGGUGAACCUGCGGAGGGAUCAUUACAGAGUUCAUGCCCUACCGGGUAGAUCUCCCACCCUAUGUUAUUAUUACUUUGUUGCUUUGGUGGGCCGUUAGGCUCCGGCCCGACUACCGGCCCCGGCUGGUAAGCGCCCGCCAGAGGACCCAAAACCCUGAAUAUUAGUGUCGUCUGAGUACUAUAUAAUAGUUAAAACUUUCAACAACGGAUCUCUUGGUUCUG
rnacentral:misc_RNA from 1 species